UCUGUAUCCCUCUCUCACAGAUGCCACAUCACACCACAUGCUCUCCCUUUUCUCUUUCUUUCUCUCUCGCUUGUCCGUCUGCUCUCUCAUUAGCUCUGCCGGCUCGUUUAUUUCCCGCGGCCUAGCAACAACUGGCUCCUUGCAGCAGUGGGAGUGGAGAGGGGAAGGCGAGAGCAGCAGGAAGAGUGGAAGAAGAAGAAGUGGGAGGAGGGUGAGGAGAAGGAGAAGAGGAGGAAAAGAUGGGGAGAUCUUUUGUUAAGCAUCUAUGCUUCCCCUCAUCCCUCUCUGGCUGCACCAGCAUCAUCACUCCACUGCCGCUGCCGCUCCAGCUGCUGGAUUCUCCAUCUCCUGCCGGGAUCUGCCUCCCCCUUCUCCUCAGGGAGCUCUUCCUGGAACUGGAAGGGGGAGGGAGAUCACCGCCGUGGACCCUCGGCAAGGAAUGAAGAGAAGGAAAGGAAGGAAGGGGAAGGAAUUUUAGAAGAGGUUCAUCAGGAGAGCAGACAAGAGGCAACACCCUGGGUUACUGGAGAGCACAGAGAAGAAAAAGAAAAGAGGAUCUCAUUACACCCAGGUAGGGUUGAGCAGGAGCAGCAACAGCAGCAUGGUACAGAAUGUCACUGCUAGUUGAGGACUACCAGGAGACAGUGGAAGCACUGCCACGCCACAACCUAGAUUUGGAACAUCAGUCAGUGGCUCUCUGCAACCUUUGCUGUCCAAUUUUCUUCCAAGAGUAUGCUGAAGAUGGAACCAGGUCAGACUUCAAGGACAGUAUUUGGAUCACCAAGUGUGAGGACCACCAAGAGUGAUCCCAAGGUGCCAGGACCACCAAGUAUCAGCCUGGGGUACCAGGACCAUCACGUGCCAGCCCAAUGUACAUGGACAACCAGAAAGUUUCCCAUUUGUCAGAGGCCUUUUGCUGCAGUGUGUAAGCCUGGUAUACCAAAAAUCCAGCCCAUGGCAAAACAUUUCCAAUUUCUCUUGGUGUUUCAUGAGUCUUUGGACCAUGAAGUGUCAUCACAGAGUACCAAGACCAGCAAGUGCCAUCAAGUAGGACCAGUACUAUUUGUUUUCUUGCCACAUGGGAAGCUUUAUGACAUGUGGGCAUUGAUGCCUUGGUCACUGCCCUAUUACUAUCGAACUCCUUUUCUGUGUUGUCCAAAUUGGAAACCUGACUUUCCCAUGCAAAGGUAUUUGAAAUGGACAUGCUGUCCUAAGUCAAAACGUUUGCCAUAGGGGUAAGCUGUCUGACAAUUGGUUAUUU